rnacentral:rRNA from 1 species
GUGGGGAAUCUUGCGCAAUGGGCGAAAGCCUGACGCAGCAACGCCGCGUGCGGGAAGAAGGCUCUCGGGUUGUAAACCGCUUUCAGUAGGAACGAAAAUGACGGUACCUGCAGAAGAAGGUGCGGCCAACUACGUGCCAGCAGCCGCGGUGACACGUAGGCACCAAGCGUUGUCCGGAUUUAUUGGGCGUAAAGAGCUCGUAGGCGGUUCAGUAAGUCGGGUGUGAAAACUCUGGGCUCAACCCAGAGACGCCACUCGAUACUGCUGUGACUUGAGUACGGUAGGGGAGCGGGGAAUUCCUGGUGUAGCGGUGAAAUGCGCAGAUAUCAGGAGGAACACCGGUGGCGAAGGCGCCGCUCUGGGCCGAAACUGACGCUGAGGAGCGAAAGCGUGGGUAGCAAACAGGAUUAGAAACCCGAGUAGUCC